rnacentral:lncRNA from 1 species
GUUUCGGAGUCUCUCCCGAGGUGCCUCCUACACAGGUGGUUCCCAAGUGGUUCAGCUCAAGGUCCCCUUUUAUUUUCUCCCUGAUCCCGCCCCCUAGCACCUGGGCUUUGAAAGAUUAGGCCUAGCAAAUGAACGGCAAUUAUGCAGUAAUAAUGACUCCAUUUUCUCAUUUUUAUUAAUAAAACACACAUGGGACGUGCCACUCAGCGCUUUGGCUGAGAGAAAACGAGUUUCCCCACUCGGUGAAUAGAAUUCCACCCAGAGGCAGCCAGUUAACAAACCACCUUCUGGGCUCGGCUCAGCUGGGAAUCACUUGCUGCGCUUGACAGCCCUUUCCAGGGGCCUCCAUAGAGCCGGCUGCCUGCCCUGGUCUCUGAAGUCAGAGGAGACAGGGCCCAUUUCAGCUGCUCCCGGCUGGCCUGUCCAUCCCCGCUGGAAUCAGCAGACCCUGACUUCUGGAGAAGCGUUCCUGUGAUGUGUCAGCUGCUCCGGGAGAGCCCAGAGUGAUGGAUUCCAAGACCUGUCAGGAGAAGGGGAUCACGAUGAAGACACUGAGGUUCAGAGAUGUUCAGCGAUUUCCCCCGAGUCACAGGGAGCAGGUUUCUCUUCUUCCAGACCUGCACCAUGACACCUGGUGAGUCCUGGUCCCCGUGACACAUUCACACCCCCCGGGCAUACUGGACAUGAGACAUGUUUAAUUCUUCUUUGUGAGUCUGGGCCCCAGGAGGUACAGACAUCUCCUAAGGAUGGGGACUGCCUCUGGGAAGGGACUGGAAAAGACUGAAAGGAAAGGGCUAGGCUGAAGAGAGCCUCUGAGUGGCAAAGCACAGAGGUGGGCUUGAGUGUGAGGGGCUGUGCACAGUGGCCUGCCAGCCCAUGGAGGCGGGGGGGGGGGACCUACUGUACGUGUUCACAUUUAGGUGAGAGAGGCUGUAAAGACUUUGCUGGGGGCUCAGGCUGACAUGGACCUCCUGUAGGAUGCUAGGCUUGUGUGUUUUCUAAUGAGCUCUAAAAUGAAGCUCUCAGGAAGCUGUGUGUUUCAAGGGUGGACUCAAUGAAGAAGGUCCUUUGGACCAAAGAAAUUGAUAAGGAGUGGAGGAUGUAGAUUCAGUGGACUUUCACUGAUAGCCUACCAUGGACCCAACACGAGGUCAGGCACUUGCUCAUAUUUAAUCCCAUUUAAUCCUCAUCAAAGUCCUCUAAGGCGAUGAAACUCAGAGAGGUUCAGUAACUGUCCUGAGGUCACAAAGCUGGUAACUGACAACACACAGAUUCAAACUGAGGCCUCUUCUUUUUUUCUUUUUCUUUCUUCUUCUUUUUUUUUUUUUUUUCCUUUUCUGACUGCCCCACAGCAUAUGGAGUUUCUGGGCCAGGCAGGGAUCAGACUAGAGAUGCAAUUGCAACCUAAGCCACAGCUGUGGUAAUGCCAGAUCCUUAACCCACUGUGCCAGAUGGGGGAUAGAACUUGCAUCCCAGCACUCCCAAGACACCCCUGACCCCAAGAUGCCACAGCGGGAACUCUUCAAACUGAGGCCUCUUAAUUCCAGUGUGAUUUGUUAAAAGAGCAUCUUCA